rnacentral:lncRNA from 1 species
UUCACAAUAAUUUUGUGAAAUAGGUAUUAAGAUCCCCGUUUUUAUAGGUGAAUGCAAGGAACCAGAAGGCAAAGCAAUAUGCUGAAGAUCAUAGUAAGGGUCAUGAUACACUAAAUUUCUGACUUCAGAUUAGCUGUUUUUUUCCUACCAUACCAGUAAAAGAGAGGAAAAUAUUUUUUCUAGAGUCAGAAAGAUUUAAUUGUACUUACAUGUAUUUACAUAUCUAUUUAAUUAAUGUAGUUAAUCAUUUAUCAAAGUGAAUUUCUAUUAAUUUCAUUUGGAAAAGUUUAGAGAUUUUCUGGAACAAAAAUUUAAUGAAAAGUUUUCUUAACACGUAGGGCUUUUUCUAAAUCCUAGAUUAGUUAAGAAAUAACCAUUAUAUCCAAUCACUUUUUUAACCUUAACAGAUGAAAAUGUUACUUUUUAGUUGCCUUCAAUUCUGUUACACUACUAAAGCAUAGCUUAAAAAUCAAAGUAUAGGCUUCAUGGAUUAUUUUUCUAACUUUCUCCAUUUCAUGGAAAUUUCUUCCAUUCUCAUAAAAAAACAGCAUUUUUUUUCCUUCACGUUUUUAUAUAAAUUCCAAUCAACAUAGAGUGUAAUAUUAGUUUCAGGUGGAAAAAAACAACAACAUUUUAACACAGUUGUACCAGGCAGUACUACUGAACAUAUAAAGUUGUCAACUUGGUAGUAGUUGUAAUUUGUUGUAUUUUUGAGACACCUAAUAAAGGUACUAUUAUUAAUGUAGCAAUUUCUUUUUGUUUCUUUUUUAUUGUCAGUUAUCUACAGGCACCAGCCUUUGCACCUGAUGCCAGCAGUGUGGCCGGAAGCAUGAACUGGGGGAAGCAGAGUGUGAGGCAUGCACUGGCAAGAUGCUCCUGGAGAACCGCUAAGAAGCCAAGGCAAGAGAUGGUUCAUUUUGUUUUGGUUUCUAUCAUUUAAAAAUACUGUAAGUUCAUUUUAGUGUUAAUGUGCAAGAAUAUUCAUUUUUUCCUAUUGCCUGGAACCCAGCCCC